rnacentral:lncRNA from 1 species
GCUCUCCAUGUGGAUGUGGCCAAAGUUAAGUUGGGGCCAUAUUCAAUGUGUUACAAUUACUGGAGACAAAGCAGGAAUGGAGAUAUUUAAGAACUAUUACCUUAGGUCAUGAGAUUUGCAUUCAUUACCACCUUCACCUAAACCGCAUUUUAUUCCACUUGGAAGCAAGGUUGGUGGUUUCCGGCAGGCAAUAAAAUUCAAUGACAGAAAUUCCAAUCUAAUAAGUGACGGCUACCCAGCCUUUAAAAUUGUACAAAGUCUUGCUUUGUCACUCAGGCUGGAGUGCAGUAGUGCAAUUAUCACUCACCACAGCAUAGUGAGACCCUGUUUCUACAAAAAUCGUACCUAUAUAACACCAAAAUAACUUGCCUUAGAUCUGUUUUGCUUAGGAUUUAUUAUUCUGGCUUUAAAGUCUUUGUAGUCAAACUCAUGCUGCAAAUUAGCCAACAGUAAGUGCUGAAAAGAAUCUAAAACAAAACUUAGAUCAACCUUUUUAUUUUAGAAAUGAAAACUAUAGAGAUGAACUAGAGAGACAAUGGAAUACUGUCCUUUGGCUGAGUCCUGCUGAAACCUGGUGGUGACACACAGAAGCAGGGUGAAUAUUCAAGAAAUACUGUUAAAUCACAAACUACUCAGAUGCAAACACAAGAGUGCAUGCUGGAACUGGCUUAUGAAACACAAGCCAGCUGGCUGCCCUAGAAAAAGUCUGAGGAAAAAGCCUUCUUCAUCUAAUUCAUAAAUGGGAAAUUGAAUUUCCAGGCUUAGCUGGCUUAUUUUUAUCUUCUUUUGUUUGUUUGAACUAUGUAUUGCUGAAUAACUGUGACAACAUUGAAAAGA